rnacentral:rRNA from 1 species
GUGGGGAAUUUUGCGCAAUGGGGGAAACCCUGACGCAGCAACGCCGCGUGAGUGAUGAAGGCCUUCGGGUCGUAAAGCUCUGUCAGAGGGGAAGAAGUGUGGGGUGGCUAAUAUCCAUUUCACUUGACGGUACCUUCAAAGGAAGCACCGGCUAACUCCGUGCCAGCAGCCGCGGUAAUACGGAGGGUGCGAGCGUUGUUCGGAAUUAUUGGGCGUAAAGCGCGUGUAGGCGGUUUUUUAAGUCUGAUGUGAAAGCCCUGGGCUCAACCCGGGAAGUGGAUUGGAAACUGGGAGACUUGAAUACGGGAGAGGGCAGUGGAAUUCCUGGUGUAGGAGUGAAAUCCGUAGAUAUCAGGAGGAACACCGGUGGCGAAGGCGGCUGCCUGGACCGAUAUUGACGCUGAGACGCGAAAGCGUGGGGAGCAAACAGGAUUAGAAACCCGGGUAGUCC